AUUGAACGCUGGCGGCAUGCUUUACACAUGCAAGUCGAGCGGUAACAGGGUGCUUGCACCGCUGACGAGUGGCGAACGGGUGAGUAAUGCGUCGGAACGUGCCGAGUAGUGGGGGAUAACGCAGCGAAAGUUGUGCUAAUACCGCAUACGUACUGAGGUAGAAAGUGGGGGACCUUCGGGCCUCACGCUAUUCGAGCGGCCGACGUCUGAUUAGCUAGUAGGUGAGGUAAAGGCUCACCUAGGCGACGAUCAGUAGCGGGUCUGAGAGGAUGAUCCGCCACACUGGGACUGAGAGACGGCCCAGACUCCUACGGGAGGCAGCAGUGGGGAAUUUUGGACAAUGGGGGAAACCCUGAUCCAGCCAUGCCGCGUGUCUGAAGAAGGCCUUCGGGUUGUAAAGGACUUUUGUCAGGGAGGAAAUCCCUAGUGCUAAUAACGCUAGGGGAUGACAGUACCUGAAGAAUAAGCACCGGCUAACUACGUGCCAGCCGCCGCGGUAACAC
rnacentral:rRNA from 1 species